rnacentral:rRNA from 1 species
UACGGAGGGUGCAAGCGUUAUUCGGAAUUACUGGGCGUAAAGCGCACGCAGGCGGUGAUUUAAGUCAGAUGUGAAAGCCCCGAGCUUAACUUGGGAAUUGCAUCUGAAACUGGUUGGCUAGAGUCUUGUAGAGGGGGGUAGAAUUCCAUGUGUAGCGGUGAAAUGCGUAGAGAUGUGGAGGAACACCGGUGGCGAAGGCGGGCCGCUGGGCCAAGACUGACGCUGAGGUGCGAAAGCUUGGGGAGCAAACGGG